AUUGAACGCUGGCGGCAGGCCUAACACAUGCAAGUCGAGCGAGCGGCGGACGGGUGAGUAAUGUCUGGGAAACUGCCUGAUGGAGGGGGAUAACUACUGUAAACGGUAGCUAAUACCCCAUACCAUCAGAUGUGCCCAGAUGGGAUUAGCUAGUAGGUGGGGUAACGGCUCACCUAGGCGACGAUCCCUCGCUGGGCUGAGAGGAUGACCAGCCACACUGGAACUGAGCCACGGUCCAGACUCAUACGGGAGGCAGCAGUGGGGAAUAUUGCACAAUGGGCGCAAGCCUGAUGCAGCAAUGCCGAGUGUGUGAAGAAGGCCUUGGGGUUGUAAAGCACUUUGAGCGGGGAGGAGGUACGAGAAGAAGAAGCAACGGCUAACUCCGUGCCAGCAGCCGCGGUAAGAG
rnacentral:rRNA from 1 species